AACGAACGCUGGCGGCAGGCUUAACACAUGCAAGUCGAACGCUCGUAGCAAUACGGGAGUGGCGGACGGGUGAGUAACGCGUGGGAACGUGCCCUGAGGUACGGAAUAACUGCGGGAAACUGCAGCUAAUACCGUAUGAGCCCCGUGAGGGGGAAAGAUUUAUCGCCUUAGGAGCGGCCCGCGUCGGAUUAGCUAGUUGGUGGGGUAACGGCUUACCAAGGCUUCGAUCCGUAGCUGGUCUGAGAGGACGAUCAGCCACACUGGGACUGAGACACGGCCCAGACUCCUACGGGAGGCAGCAGUGGGGAAUCUUGCGCAAUGGGGGCAACCCUGACGCAGCCAUGCCGCGUGAAUGAUGAAGGCCUUAGGGUUGUAAAGUUCUUUUGCCCGUGACGAUGAUGACGGUAACGGGAGAAUAAGCUCCGGCUAACUUCGUGCCAGCAGCCGCGGUAAU
rnacentral:rRNA from 1 species